rnacentral:rRNA from 1 species
AUUGAACGCUGGCGGCAUGCUUUACACAUGCAAGUCGAACGGCAACGAGGAGAAGCUUGCUUCUCUGUCGGCGAGUGGCGAACGGGUGAGUAUAGCAUCGGAACGUGCCAAGUAGUGGGGGAUAACCAAACGAAAGUUUGGCUAAUACCGCGUAAGCUCCAAGGAGGAAAGUAGGGGACCUAAAUAAGGCCUUACGCUAUUUGAUCGGCCGAUGUCGGAUUAGCUAGUUGGUGGGGUAAUGGCUCACCAAGGCAAUGAUCCGUAGCGGGUCUGAGAGGACGAUCCGCCACACUUGGACUGAGACACGGCCCAGACUCCUACGGGAGGCAGCAGUGGGGAAUUUUGGACAAUGGGGGAAACCCUGAUCCAGCCAUGCCGCGUGUAUGAAGAAAGCCUUAGGGUUGUAAAGUACUUUUGUUAGGGAAGAAAAGCUAGUUUUUAAUAAAAAUUAGUGAUGACGGUACCUAAAGAAUAAGCACCGGCUAACUACGUG